CAUGCAAGUCGAGCGGACAGAAGGGAGCUUGCUCCCGGAUGUUAGCGGCGGACGGGUGAGUAACACGUGGGUAACCUGCCUGUAAGACUGGGAUAACUCCGGGAAACCGGAGCUAAUACCGGAUAGUUCCUUGAACCGCAUGGUUCAAGGAUGAAAGACGGUUUCGGCUGUCACUUACAGAUGGACCCGCGGCGCAUUAGCUAGUUGGUGAGGUAACGGCUCACCAAGGCGACGAUGCGUAGCCGACCUGAGAGGGUGAUCGGCCACACUGGGACUGAGACACGGCCCAGACUCCUACGGGAGGCAGCAGUAGGGAAUCUUCCGCAAUGGACGAAAGUCUGACGGAGCAACGCCGCGUGAGUGAUGAAGGUUUUCGGAUCGUAAAGCUCUGUUGUUAGGGAAGAACAAGUGCAAGAGUAACUGCUUGCACCUUGACGGUACCUAACCAGAAAGCCACGGCUAACUACGUGCCAGCAGCCGCGGUAAUACGUAGGUGGCAAGCGUUGUCCGGAAUUAUUGGGCGUAAAGGGCUCGCAGGCGGUUUCUUAAGUCUGAUGUGAAAGCCCCCGGCUCAACCGGGGAGGGUCAUUGGAAACUGGGAAACUUGAGUGCAGAAGAGGAGAGUGGAAUUCCACGUGUAGCGGUGAAAUGCGUAGAGAUGUGGAGGAACACCAGUGGCGAAGGCGACUCUCUGGUCUGUAACUGACGCUGAGGA
rnacentral:rRNA from 1 species